rnacentral:rRNA from 1 species
AUGGCGUCGUCAGUUCGUACUGUGAAGCAUCCUGUUAAGUCAGGCAACGAGCGAGACCCACGUCCACAGUUGCCAGCAUACCCUCCGGGGUGAUGGGUACACUGUGGAGACCGCCGCCUGCUAAAGCGGAGGAAGGAGUGGGCAACGGUAGGUCAGUAUGCCCCGAAUCUCCCGGGCUACACGCGGGCUACAAUGGUUGGUACAAUGGGCAUCUACCCCGAAAGGGGAAGGAAAUCUCUUAAAGCCAAUCGUAGUUCGGAUUGAGGGCUGCAACUCGCCCUCAUGAAGCUGGAAUCCGUAGUAAUCGCGUUUCAACAGAACGCGGUGAAUACGUCCCUGCUCCUU